rnacentral:rRNA from 1 species
ACGUACACUCCUACGGGAGGCAGCAGUGAGGAAUAUUGGACAAUGGGUGGAAGCCUGAUCCAGCCAUCCCGCGUGCAGGAAGACGGCCCUAUGGGUUGUAAACUGCUUUUAUCUGGGGAUAAACCUACUUACGUGUAAGUAGCUGAAGGUACCAGAAGAAUAAGCACCGGCUAACUCCGUGCCAGCAGCCGCGGUAAUACGGAGGGUGCAAGCGUUAUCCGGAUUUAUUGGGUUUAAAGGGUCCGUAGGCGGACUGAUAAGUCAGUGGUGAAAUCCGACAGCUUAACUGUCGAACUGCCAUUGAUACUGUUAGUCUUGAGUAAGGUUGAAGUGGCUGGAAUAAGUAGUGUAGCGGUGAAAUGCAUAGAUAUUACUUAGAACACCAAUUGCGAAGGCAGGACACUAAGUCUUAACUGACGCUGAUGGACGAAAGCGUGGGGAGCGAACAGGAUUAGAAACCCCUGUAGUCCCAU